rnacentral:lncRNA from 1 species
GGGAUAGGAUGGGGGAUUACAGGAUGUGUGAGGGCAUUAUGGGAUAUGCGGGGUAUUAUGGGAUGUGUGGACGGCAUUAUGGAAUAGGAUGGGAUGGGAUGGGGUACUAUGGGAUGUUAUGGGGGAUUAUGGAAUGUCAGGUGAUGGGGUAUUAUGGGAUGGCGGGAUUAUGGGAUGGGGAAGUAUUAUGGGAUGUGGGGGUAUCAUGAAUAGUAGGGACGUUAUGGGGUUAUGGGAAUGUUAUGGGGUUAUGGGAAUGUUAUGGGGUUAUGGGAAUGUUAUGGGGUUAUGGGGAUGUUAUGGGGUUAUGGGGAAUAUUAUGGGGUUAUGGGGACGUUAUGGGAUUAUGGAGAUGUUAUGGGGUUAUGGGGACGUUAUAGGGAUGUUAUGGGGUUAUGGG